UACGGGGGGGGGCAGGCGUUAUUCAGUAUGUCUGGGCGUAAAGGGUCUGUGGGCGGCAAGUUUAGUUGUUGGGAAAAUGUUAGGGCACAACCCUAAAAAACUUACAAAACGUACUUUGCUAGAGUAAUAAAGGGGAUAAUAGAACUUCUGGAGUAGGGAUGAAAUCCAGUGACAGCAGAAGGAAUUUCAACGGCGAAAGCAAUUAUCUGGUUAUUACUGACGUUGAGAGACGAAGGCAUGGGUAGCGAAUGGG
rnacentral:rRNA from 1 species